rnacentral:rRNA from 1 species
UUUGGAAUUUUGGACAAUGGACGAAAGUCUGAUCCAGCGACGCCGCGUGCACGAAGAAGGUCUUCGGAUCGUAAAGUGCUUUUGCUUGGGAAAAAUUUUUGAUUGUACCAAGAGAAUAAGAGGUUGCUAACUCUGUGCCAGCAGCAGCGGUAAUACAGAGACCUCAAGCGUUAUCCGGAAUCAUUGGGCGUAAAGCGUACCGAUAGGUGGUUUAUUAAGUCUUGGGUAAAAGCCGGAAGCUUAACUUCCGCGUUUGCUUAAGAUACUAGUAGACUAGAGGGGCAAAGAGGAGAUUGGAACCAACGGUGUAGUAGUGAAAUGCGUUGAUAUCGUUGGGAACACCGAAAGCGAAGGCAGAUCUCUGGGUGCCACCUGACACUGCUAGGACGAAAGCGUGGGGAGCGAAUGGGAUUAGAUACCCCAGUAGUCCACGCUGUAAACGAUGAAUACUAGGCAUACGCGAGUAUCGACCCUCGUAUGUGCCGCAGCUAACGCGAUAAGUAUUCCGCCUGGGGAGUACGGUCGCAAGACUAA